GAGCGGCAGUUGGUCGGGACAGAGCGGCACAGGGCCCAGGAAGUAUGAAAGAGGGGGCACGGACUGUCAGGGAUGUCCUGAGGAGAUAUGAUGGGAGCUCCUUCACUCCCCCACAGCUGCAGGUGCUGACUGUGAGUGGAAGUCCACUGGAGACCGGGAUAGUACAAGGAGAGACCGAAGAUGGUGAAGGACACUGCCCAUGAGCCUUUAUAACCAGGGGAAAGCUGUACUGGAGACAAAGAUAGUUCAGGAAGAGUACAAGAAGGAAAUUGUUCAACAGACUUAGGAGCGGAAAGUGGAGCGGCUGCCGGAUACAUGACACUUUUCCUGCAGGAAUGAGCAUAUUUUAGAAUAAUAAGAGGGACUUGUAGUAUCAGCAAUGUAAAAGAUGCAUGAAGUAAUUGGUGCUUAAUUUGUACACAAACUGUCACGGCAGUUCUCCUCACGGCCUGUAUCUUCUGAAUUCAUUAGUCUUUAAUUAAGGCCAGUUGGGACCAGCAGUUACAAGGUUAAAGAGGUUCUGACAGCCCUAAUCAUUGCUCAGGAAGCUGGAAAUGUAUGCAAAGUCUCGGCAGAUGGGGUGAGAGCCGAAGCUGCCAAGUGGUAACUGUUAUUCCUUUGCACCUCCAAAGCUGUCAUCCUAAUAGGCACAUUUUAUAUUUAUUAAUGCUCCAGUUGCAAUGCAUGCACAGUCUCUAAUGGUAUGUCAUUCAGAGUAUAUAAACUGAGCAAUUAGCAAACAUUACCUGAUAAUGGUAAAAUUAUUUAGUGUACGUUUGAUUUGGGUCUUUCUCCAGUCUCCCCGCCAUGGCACGGAUACUAAUGGCGCAGACUCCUUCCUUUGUCGAGCAAUAUUACAUUCUGACUGUGCCAUACAUUUGACUGACAUUAAUUAUUUUCUGUUUUACCAACGUAGCGCUGAACUACAAUUAUUCAACAUCCCAAUCCAAGCCCCCCCCCCUCCCGCCGCCUCGCAAACCUUCAACUUGAAUUACAAAAGAGCUAUUGUUUGUUUUCAUACGUUCCGCUA